rnacentral:siRNA from 1 species
UAGAUGAAUGUGGUAGAUGCAA